rnacentral:rRNA from 1 species
GACGAACGCUGGCGGCGUGCCUAACACAUGCAAGUCGAGCGGAGUCGAUCGACGGAAGCCUUCGGGCGGAAGAUGGUUGACUUAGCGGCGGAUGGGUGAGUAACGCGUGGGCAACCUGCCUCGAAGACCGGGAUAACAGCCCGAAAGGGCUGCUAAUACCGGAUGUGGUCAAGGAUCCGCAUGGAUUUUUGAUUAAAGGGGAAACCCGUUUCGAGAUGGGCCCGCGUCCUAUCAGCUAGUUGGUGAGGUAAAAGCUCACCAAGGCGACGACGGGUAGCCGGCCUGAGAGGGUGACCGGCCACACUGGAACUGAGACACGGUCCAGACUCCUACGGGGGCAGCAGUGGGGAAUCUUCCACAAUGGGCGAAAGCCUGAUGGAGCGACGCCGCGUGAGCGAAGAAGGCCUCGGGUUGUAAAGCUCUGUCUGGAGGGACGAAGGAAGUGACGGUACCUCCGGAGGAAGCCACGGCAACUACGUGCCAGCAGCCCGGUAAAGUACUCUAU